rnacentral:rRNA from 1 species
GAUCCUGGCUCAGGACGAACGCUGGCGGCGUGCCUAACACAUGCAAGUCGAACGAAGAAUUUUAUUUCGGUAGAAUUCUUAGUGGCGAACGGGUGAGUAACGCGUAGGCAGCCUGCCCUUUAGACGGGGACAACAUUCCGAAAGGAGUGCUAAUACCGGAUGUGAUCAUCUUGCCGCAUGGCAGGAUGAAGAAAGAUGGCCUCUACAAGUAAGCUAUCGCUAAGGGAUGGG